UACGUAGGGGGCAAGCGUUGUCCGGAAUUACUGGGCGUAAAGAGCUCGUAGGUGGUUUGUCGCGUUGUCCGUGAAAACUCACAGCUUAACUGUGGGCGUGCGGGCGAUACGGGCAGACUGGAGUACUGCAGGGGAGACUGGAAUUCCUGGUGUAGCGGUGGAAUGCGCAGAUAUCAGGAGGAACACCGGUGGCGAAGGCGGGAUCCUGGGCCAGUACUGACGCUGAUGAGCGAAAGCGUGGGGAGCAAACAGG
rnacentral:rRNA from 1 species